rnacentral:lncRNA from 1 species
GCGACGUGCUGGAGCCCGUGGGCUGCCUGGCUCCCGCAUGGUUGCUAGCUGCACAUGUGGGCCUUGGAGGUCCAGCCCAGGGGUGCCGCGCCCCGGAGGAGAAGGCACUGGGCCCGAGAGCCAACGGGGCGCGAGGGACGGCCCUGCUGGGGCCUGGCGCUUCACCGUCCGCCCGGUGCUCCCAGGUCCAGCACGUCGUCCCUUUGUCAGGACCAUCCUGGGGGGCCGCCAGGCGGAGGUCACUGCUGGAAAUGGAGGCUCAAGGGAGGCGGUGCUCCACCCCAGGGCACAGAGCCCCCGGCGGGGCCAAGCCCUCUCCUCCGUCGUGUGCGGCCCACCAGGAGCGCCCCCAGCAGUGUCACAACCAAGAGUCUCCGGCCUCGCUGAGUGUCCCCUGGGGGCCUUUCGUCCGCAGCAGGGGACAAAGCAAAGCCCCGCCACCUUCCUGGAGCUGAAAGUCUUUGAGGGGACACAGAGAAGGAAAUGGCCAGGUUGGGUCGCUGAGGGACCCAGGAGAGGAGGGCGGCGGGUCUCACUCAGGGAUGGGCAUUCCUGGAGUUUCUGGAGCAUCCGUGGGUUGUGGCAGAAAAGGAAAGUGAAGGGCUCCAUGAGGAGUCUCUGUGUUCUGAUUCGGGUCAGCUCUGUCUUUUCUCAGAAGCAAAAGCAAAGGCUGGGGCUUCUUUUACUAACUGCCCGUUGGACUCUUCCUUCGUCGUUGAAUGUUACCACGGCCGGGUCGGGCUUGCGGGGACCCUGGGGUGCUCUCGGGUUUCGUAGAGGACACAGCGGAGGGCAAAUAGCGCCCUCGGGAGGGACCACCUGCUUGGGGAGCGGCUCUGAGAAGCCGCUUGGAGCGGAAAAUGCUGGCAUGGAAGUGUGCAGGCGAGCCUUUGGUGGGACUGGGUGUCUCCUGGGCCUCGGGAGGGACGGGGGUGCCCGGGAGCUGAGGCUGGCUUCAACCCCAGCAGCUUGUGUCAGCCAGUUUGAUGUGGGACUUGGAGGGGCCAGGAGCCCUCACAUCUGGGUCCCACCGCUCUGGGCCAAGCCCCGUGAUUCCUAACCCCAAGUCCUCCAGGCUCAGAGGGCUCACUGUCUAAGGCACAGGCCAAUAGGCAGCCUCAUCAGUCGUCAUUCUCACCCCCGGGGUCCUCCCUGUAUAAAGGCACCUGCUUCAUCGAAGGCUGAGACUGUCCACAGUGGCCACUGGUCAUGCGGCCCCUCACUGGUCUGUGCGUCAGGGCACGGCUGGGCCCACUGCCUGCAGAUGUCCCGGAACAUCCCUGUGCCCAGCGUGUGCCCGGAGCACAGUAGGUGCAGGGCAUGGCUGUGCAUGGACGGGAGGGGUGGACAACCGGCCCCUCAGACUGGCCCCUCCUGCUGAGUCCGGCCUAGCAAUGCCCUGGGUGGGUGAGUCUGGUUGUUAGUCCUCCC